rnacentral:rRNA from 1 species
AUUGAACGCUGGCGGCAGGCCUAACACAUGCAAGUCGAGCGGAUGACGGGAGCUUGCUCCUUGAUUCAGCGGCGGACGGGUGAGUAAUGCCUAGGAAUCUGCCUGGUAGUGGGGGACAACGUUUCGAAAGGAACGCUAAUACCGCAUACGUCCUACGGGAGAUAGCAGGGGACCUCCGGGCCUUGCGCUAUCAGACGAGCCUAGGUCGGGUUAGCAAGUUGGUGGGGUAAUGGCUCACCAAGGCGACGGUCCGUAACUGGUCUUAGAGGAUGAUCAGUCCAACUGGAACUGAGACACGGUCCAGACUCCUACGGGAGGCAGCAGUGGGGAAUAUUGGACAAUGGGCGAAAGCCUGAUCCAGCCAUGCCGCGUGUGUGAAGAAGGUCUUCGGAUUGUAAAGCACUUUAAGUUGGGAGGAAGGGCAGUAAGCUAAUACCUUGCUGUUUUGACGUUACCGACAGAAUAAGCACCGGCUAACUCUGUGCCAGCCGCCGCCGUAA